rnacentral:rRNA from 1 species
UUGGAGGGCAAGUCUGGUGCCAGCAGCCGCGGUAAUUCCAGCUCCAAUAGCGUAUAUUAAAGUUGUUGCAGUUAAAAAGCUCGUAGUUGAAUUUCGGGAUUGACGUGAUGGUCAUGCCUUAAGGGGUAUGAACUGUUACUGUUGAUUUCUCACCUUCUGGAGAAACUUGAUGUCCUUUAUUGGGUGUCUUGCGGAUCCAGGACCUUUACCUUGAAAAAAUUAGAGUGUUUAAAGCAGGCAUUUUUGCUCGAAUACAUUAGCAUGGAAUAAUAGAAUAGGACGGCAUGGUUCUAUUUUGUUGGUUUCUAGGAUCACCGUAAUGAUUAAUAGGGAUAGUUGGGGGCAUUAGUAUUCAAUUGUCAGAGGUGAAAUUCUUGGAUUUAUUGAAGACUAACUACUGCGAAAGCAUUUGCCAAGGAUGUUUUCAUUAAUCAAGAACGAAAGUUAGGGGAUCGAAGACGAUCAGAUACCGUCGUAGUCUUAACCAUAAACUAUGCCGACUAGGAAUCAGACGAUGUUAAUUUUUUAAUGUCACGUUUGGCACCUUACGGGAAACCAAAGUGUUUGGGUUC